GUAACUCAGGCUGAAGCAAUUUUUACAAAUGAUAUGCUGCAGUUCAUACAUUGGUGAAUUUUGAAUGGUGCCAUUGUGUCGAUUGAACAUGUUUCCAAAUCUCAAAGGGUUCACUUUUUUGUUUGUUUUUUAAAAAGCUGCCAGGCAGAGAAACGAGAAACCUUUGCAAGUGAGUGAGCACAGAAACAUGCUUAAGUGAAACUCAGUGGAGGACAUGAGUACACUUACAGACCAAAGACGCCUAUCCCUCCUGUGCUUGGGCAUGAAAUUUCCAGAAUCAGAAGAAAAGAAUCUCUUACAGCAUUUAGCAGAGGAGAACAUUGGUAUAUGGAAUGGCGAGUUUAUGUUUUUAAACAGUGCCUAGCAUAGUACCUGAUACAUGGU
rnacentral:lncRNA from 1 species